rnacentral:misc_RNA from 1 species
GAUGAAGAACGUAGCGAAAUGCGAUAAUUAAUGUGAAUUGCAGAAUUCCGUGAAUCAUCGAGUCUUUGAACGCACAUUGCGCCUCAUGGCAUUCCGUGAGGCAUGCCCAUCUCAGCGUUAGAAAAUAUUCUCAAAUUUUAGUUUUGUGCUAAAAUUUGGAUCAUGUCAAGGAAGCUAUUACUAUUAUUGUGAUCGCUCUUUGGAAAUUGAUAGGUCUUUGAGUUGCUGCUCAUAGAACGUGAUGAAUCUUUCUUCGUUCUAUUGUAAUUCACUCUGGUAGUCCUAAAACUUGUAUGCCUGUGGCAUAUCUUGUAAUUUGACCUGAGAUUGGGUAGGGAUACCCGCUGAACUUAAGCAUAUCAAUAAGCGGAGGA